rnacentral:rRNA from 1 species
GAUGAACGCUGGCGGCGUGCCUAAUACAUGCAAGUCGAGCGAACGGACGAGAAGCUUGCUUCUCUGAUGUUAGCGGCGGACGGGUGAGUAACACGUGUAUAACCUACCUAUAAGACUGGGAUAACUUCGGGAAACCGGAGCUAAUACCGGAUAAUAUUUUGAACCGCAUGGUUCAAAAGUGAAAGACGGUCUUGCUGUCACUUAUAGAUGGAUCCGCGCUGCAUUAGCUAGUUGGUAAGGUAACGGCUUACCAAGGCAACGAUGCAUAGCCGACCUGAGAGGGUGAUCGGCCACCCUGGAACUGAGACAGGGUCCAGACUCCUGCGGGAGGCAGCAGUAGGGAAUCGUACGCAAUAGGCGAAAGCCUGACGGAGCAACGCCGCGUGAGUGAUGAAGGUCUUCGGAUCGUAAAACUCUGUUAUUAGGGAAGAACAUAUGUGUAAGUAACUGUGCACAGCUUGACGGUACCUAAUCAGAAAGCCACGGCUAACUACGUG